GGAAACCAUGACUUCAUUCCUCCAUUCUUCCCAUCUAGGAGGGAUGCUACAGGAUCGGAGAGGCAAUUCUGCCCUGCUCCCUGUUUAGCUGUGUUUAUUCACAUUUAGCUGUGUUUAUUCACGGUAUCCUGGGGGCAUUGUAUGUACCCACCAGUCAUGGGAAGUUUCCUGGCAAGAAGAAAUUGACUCUGUUACAGGGGUAUAUUCUAGGAUUGCCGCCUGGCAGUAAGUAAACAUCAGCUCCAUGUAAGCCAGCUGGUGGAGUGCGAGCUUAAGUUGACUGGGAUUUUUAUAAGGAUUCUUGUGUUAGCUUUCUGUCGCUGUGGCUAAAACCUUAGAGAAGUCAAAUUAAAGGGGAGAAGACUUACUUGGGCUUAUGACUUCAGAGGUUUCUGACUCCACUGCUUUUGAAGCCAAGGCAAGACAAACUAUCUCAGCAGUAGGAGUGUAUGGCCAAGAGACUGCACACUGCCUGCCUCGUGGCUGUCAGAGAUCAGGGAAGAAGAAAGACGCCUUACAGGGGAGCCUGCCCAGUGAACUACUUCCUCCAACUAGACCUCCAGCAAUUUCUACCAGCCCCUUAUAGAUUAUUCAACCAUGCAUCUGUCAAGGAAUGGAUGAAUCCAUUGAUGAGCCACAUCGUAGUCACAUUUGAUGUCCACAAUACAACACAUCCCAGAGGAUAUGGCCACCAAGGUGUGGCUCCUACGGAAUUCCCAGAAUACGUCUAGUCGAGUACAGCAGAGGCACAAAGAACCAUGGAGGGAAUGCAGCAGCGAGCACUACCAUAGAUCCUGUUGAAAUCUUGAACAAGGUACACCUGUCAUCUUGAGGAUAGUCGCUCCCUGGUUUCUGAAUGUCCUCGAUAUUCUACCAGGAAGAUGACAACAGUGGUGAUAUAUCUCCUUUACUUGCUGGUAGAGUGAGUGAAGAAAACACAUGCUCAAGUGAGUCCAACUUCCCAGAAAUAUCUGAAGCAGAAGCUCAAGUUGAUUGCCAACAACAAACCAUUAGAAGUGGCUUUGGUUCUGGGGCCGGACUGUUUCACCCCGUCUCCAGGCAACAGCCAGGCGCGCCAGGCGGAACGUCAUUUCCUGAAGAGCCC
rnacentral:lncRNA from 1 species